AGGGAUGUGGUUAGCGGGCAUGGUGGGGGUGGCUUGGUGGUUGAACUAGAUGAUCUUAGUGGUCUUUCCAGCCUCAAUGAUUCUAUGAUUCAUUAACUCGGAUGGGAACAGACCCAGUGAUGUCAGUGGGGCUUUGUGCUGUGGAGCAGGAUGUUUGCCAGCCCUCAGCCUCUAGUAACAGUGCCCCACUGGGCUGGGAUGGCUGGGCAGAGGGAUGGGUGUUGGUGGCAGCUUGGUUUGUGCCUCCUUACUGCAGCCUCUGGUAGUUCACUGCCGAGUAACAGUAUCUGUGUGAGGCGUUCUUGCUUGGUUUGCUUUAUUUGCUGUUGUAUAUGUAAUCACUCCAAUCUCCUUCCCUCCAAAUUUCUUACAGCUGAGGAAAAUGAGCUUGUCUGUCCAUAAAGCAUCUUGCGGCAGGUUAAUGCGGUUGUAUAUCUGGAUAACCCCGUCUACCUUUGCCAGUGCAAUCAGUGUGGGUGUGAAUUACAGGCAGGGGUGAGCACAACCGGAGUAAGGCUGGGAUUGAUGAGUAGUGUGCAGCUGUACGUGGAGCAGGCAGGGAUGGAACAUCUGCAGGAGCCUUUUGUUCUUCGUUCUGUAAUGCCAUCACUGGAACUGCUGAAUUAAGCUGUACUUCCAUGAUGAGUGGGGAUGGCUGGGGCGGCAUAGGUGAGUGCCACGUGUGCUGUGCUGGGUGCUACCUGCAGAGCUGCUCUGUGCUGGCGUGAGCAGCCUCGCUGAGCCUUGAGGUCUGCAGGACAACCCCUUCAUUUCUCCAGCUUAGGCAUGCCAAGAGUGGAUGAGACCUGGGAUCACCUGGAAAUCCUGGGAUUUCUCUCCAGGCCACGCUUUGGUGGUGGUAUUUCUUUUAAUCCAAUUCGGUUUUAAAUGUGGCCAUGAAGAAUUAUAACUGAUCGCAUUAAAUUACACUUGGAAUCUCCUGGCUGCUUGAUGAAGAAAUGAUAUGAGCGCAGCGUGGGCCUGACUUUACGUCUGUAUUAACAAUGUUACAGGCACAGGGCCUCAGUCUGAUACAUUCCUAAUGAGAUUUUGAAGUUCACACUAUAAAAUGUUCUGUCAAUUAAGUCAGAAAUUCAGAGCAACAUAUUUACUUCAGCUAACAGUAUGUCCUUUCAGCGCAGGGAUCUCAAUGAUUACAGCAGUAUUUUCUAGUUCCAGCCUCAUCAAAGUCCAAUAAAAUAUUCUCAUUGUAAUACGCGCUUGUCGGUAACGUGCAAGUUUUCUGACUGCAAAGAACAGCUCUGCAAAAACAUAUUCAGUGAGGAGGACGCAGGGUAGCAGAUAGCUCUAAUACAAAGGCCUGUCUUUCUGCAGUGCCCUGUAGCUGAAAUGAAACCAGGCAGGAGCCCUGUUUUACUAGCAGCAGGUUUCCUUGAUGCACGCCUGUGCCUCCCGACGCCGCUGACUCCCAGGAAGAAGGCCCUCCGAUGAGCUGAGGAAGGGCUGAUUGCAGUUGUCACCAAUUAACAGGAGGCAGGCAUGCAGGUGAAAGCAAAUCCUGCUUUGCUUUACUGGGUAACAAUAGUCGUGUAAGUGCAAAGCCAGCCACAGCUCCUACAUCAGCUACACCCAUGGAAGCAGCUCCUGCUUUACUUGAGGGUGCACAUUGCGCUGCUUGCUGCUUGAUCCCAGCAAGUCCCAGAUCCUUAAAGUCUUUGGGAAGCAAUGAACUAGCAGCAGUUGAGAGGACUCAGCCUUUUAGCACGUGGAUCCCCCCCUCUCUCUCACGAUCAGUGUGGCUGGUGAGUGGCUCAGCUGUGGAAAGCGCUGGCUCUUCUCCAGGCCCCUUCCCUCCCAGCCCAGUCUGGGCCUUGUCCUGAGCAUGCCAACAGUGCUGGCAGUUUUCUCAGGUUCAUGAUCAGUGCCUGAAGUAAGAAGAAAUGUAUAAGUACUGGCUACAGAUUUUGGACCAGUUCAAAAGAAUUGUGUUUGGUGGGGUUUCCAUACAUCUGGGGCUCUGUGAAAAAGGGUAGUUAUGUGGUAGUGAAGUCUUUGUGUUGAAAUCACAGGAAACGGUGCUUUCUGCUUAGGCGUGAUUCAGAUGCAGUUGUGGCACCGUUUUUAAGAAAUCAUUUGGCUUAGUAGUAUUGCCCACAAAUACAUUUUUACGUAGUUACUUUGGAGAUCUGAAGUACUUGGCUGUUAGCGAGCACUUGUGGAGGAGCUCUUGUUACAGAUAAGCCUGGCUUUCUCUGUGGGCUGUCGCACCUGCCUGAGGUAUUCAUGCAGCUCGGCUCUUCCCAUACCAUUGCCAGAGUGUGAGUGUAAGCGCUCCAAGAAAGUCUGCAGGUAAGCAUAUGGACUGUGGGCUAGAUGAGUGGACAGUGAGGUGGAUGGAGAACUGGCUGACUGACAGAGCUCAGAAGGUUGUGAUCAGCAGCACAAAGUCUGGUUGGAGGGCUGUAGCUAGUGGUGUUCCCCCAGUUCUCAGCAAGUUUGUGAUGCCACAAAGCUGGAAAGAAUGGCUGACGCACCACAAGACAUUGCUACCAUUCAGUGAUACCUGGACAGGCUGGACAACUGCACAGAGAGGAGUCUGAUGAGGUUCAACAGUGGCAAGUGGUGGAUUCUACACCUGAAGAUAAAUAACUGCAUGCAUCAGUACAGAAUUGCAAGCCCAGGCUAUGAGCUGGGAUUUAUACAGUUGUUUCUGGAAUUGGUUCUGAAAGCACGCUACAAUAAAAACUCGAUUGCAGGACUGCAGCUCCUUGUCCUGAAGGAAAUGAAGGCGCUCUCCAUUUCGGAAAAGGUGGCUAACCCGAAG